rnacentral:rRNA from 1 species
CGGACGGGUGAGUAACGCGUGAGAAUUCACCUUUAGGAGGGGAAUAACAAUUGGAAACGAUUGCUAAUGCCCCAUAUGCUCGUAAGAGUGAAAGGAAAGCAAUAGCUUAAUUCCGCCUAAAGAGAAGCUCGCGGCUGAUUAGCUAGUUGGUAAGGUAAUGGCUUACCAAGGCGACGAUCAGUAGCUGGUUUGAGAGAACGAUCAGCCACACUGGAACUGAGACACGGUCCAGACUCCUACGGGGGGCAGCAGUGAGGAAUUUUCUGCAAUGGGCGAAAGCCUGACAGGGCAAUACCGCGUGAGGGAUGAAUGCCCACGGGUUGUAAACCUCUUUUGUCAAGGAGGAAGUUCUGACGUGUACUUGACGAAUAAGCAUCGGCUAACUCCGUGCCAGCAGCCGCGGUAAUACGGAGGAUGCAAGUGUUAUCCGGAAUCACUGGGCGUAAAGCGUCUGUAGGUGGUUUGCUAAGUCCGCUGUUAAAGCUUGAAGCUCAACUUCGAAAAUGCAGUGGAAACUAGUAGACUUGAGUGUGGUAGGGGUAGAGGGAAUUUCCAGUGAAGUGGUGAAAUGCGUAGAUAUUGGAAAGACCACCAAUGGCGAAGGCACUCUACUGGGCCACAACUGACACUGAGAGACGAAAGCUAGGGGAGCAAAAGGAUUAGAUACCCCAGUAGUC